rnacentral:ncRNA from 1 species
CGAGGAAGGGCGUAGUAAGCGAUGAAAUGCUUCGGGGAGUUGAAAAUAAGUAUUGAUCCGGAGAUUCCCGAAUAGGUCAACCUUUCAAACUGCUGCUGAAUCCAUGGGCAGGCAAGAG